UGCUGACAGCCUCGGAAGUCAUAUACAUGUAGCAUAGUUUUGACAUACAUUCUCUUCAUGACUGCAAUAUGCAGACGAGACAACGCUUGGUGUUUGCCUUGUUUUUAUAAUUGUUUUUUUUUAUUUAGUCUAAUGUAUGCUUAUUUGCUUCAUCUGUGUGUGUGACUUUAAUUAUGUCGACAUCAUUUGUUUAUUCCCUCACCAGAGUAUUUUACCUGAGGGCUAUACUUACCAUGCGUGCCACGUAGAUAACUUCUCCCAGGGUGAUGAAGUGCAUUUUGCUGCAACCAUUCGCCUUGAUCUGCGUUCAAAACAAGAUUUUGGCAAGUGGCUGGACAGUUUCCAAGAGGCUUCAUCAACCACUUGGCGAGUGAAGCGAACAUUUCCUUCAGUUGGAAUGAAAAUCGUUUUUAAGAAAGCAUACAGGUGCCAUCACAACACAAGACCAGCAAAGGAGUCUACCAAUGCAGGUCGUCGUGUGGCCUCUAAGAACACCAACUGCCCAGCUGACAUGGUUGUCUCCAUUAAGAAAUCAGUGUACGAAGGGCGCACCGUCAGCAGGAGCAAAGAUCACCACCUCCCAUUGUACCCAGCUGAGAUCAGAUUAUCAUACAUACAUAAUCACCCAAUUAUGUGUGCAGACGCCCUGAAGUUCCGGGAUGUCUCGGAGGAGGCAAAAGAAGAACUGAUCUCCCUCUUCAAAAGGAAAUAUGGCCCUACUCAGGCCAUAGACAUGAUUAAAUACGAGCUUCAGUUGAAACAUGGGGCCAACUACCUGUUGAAGGCAGCUGAUAGGGCUGUUUGUCCUGAUGUGCAGUUCGCCCACCGAUUGUACCGCAAGGUAUUUAAAGAAGAGUUUGGGGAGUCAACUGGUGAGGGGAUGCUGCAUAGCCUUAGAACGUACAUCUCUCAUUACAACACGCAAGUGGGCUCAGAGUGCAUGGCGCUUGAUAUAACAAGCGACAACAAAGUUGUGAUGGCUAUAUGCACUCCGCUAAUGAAGAGGGUCCAUGAAGAAGUGAAACAUGCCUCAGAGCUGGUAUUCAUCGAUGCCUCAUCGAACAUGGACAGGUACGGCUGUAGUGUCUUUUUGCUGCUGACGCAUAGUUGUGCAGGUGGCCUUCCUCUGGGGGUGCUCAUCACCUCUAGUGAAGCAGAGGGGGUGAUUGAGGCAGCCCUCAAGCUGUACCGCUCUCUCCUUCCCCAGAAGUGUUUUGGAGGAAGAGGAGUCCAAGGGCCAGCUCUCAUCAUGACCGAUGACUCUGCAGCAGAACAGAAUGCCAUCAGUCACGUUUUCCCUGCCAGUCAGACACUCCUUUGCGUGUUCCAUGUUCUCCAAGCCACGUGGAGAUGGUUGUGGAAUGGCAAAAACCAAAUCCCCAAGGAGCAGCGACCCAAUCACCUCCAACAUCUAAAGCGCCUCAUCUACGCCUGUACUGAGGAGGAGCUUGAGGAACUGUACCAGGAGAGUCUUCAAGACACAACCCUGUCCGACAAAUUCAAAGAGCAUCUUACUGGCUACUAUGGGAGGAAGGAGAAGUGGGCAAUUGCUUGUCGACUUGACCUCCAGGUGCGUGGUAAUAACACCAACAAUUUUUGCGAGGCAGCCAUGCGUGUCCUAAAGGAUAAGAUCCUGGAAAGGACAAAGGCGUUCAGUAUUCCCCAGCUGGCAGACUAUAUGUCCACCUUUCUGGAUGAAUACUACCAACAACGGCUGAUUGAUGUAGCCAAUGGACGCCUGCAGAAUGUGAUUGCCUCUAGGUAUAUGCCCCAGGAGAAAUCAAUCAAGCUCCAUGACAUCAGACAGCUCUCAGACUCCCAGUUCAUCGUAACAAGUCAGACUUCACAAGACAGGGGGUACGAUGUCGAUAUGGAACUUGGACACUGUUCUUGUCAUGCUGGGAAGACUGGAGCCCCCUGCAAACACCAGGCAGCAGUGGUGAAACAUUUCAAUGUUUCUUCGACAAACUUUGUCCCAGUCAAUGACCCGCAGUCAAGACUACUGCUGUAUAAGAUCGCAACAGGUUUAGAAAGUACUUCAUCUAAUUCUGGCCUGCAUGGAUGAAUGAUCAAGGAUUUAGUACCGGUCUUAUAAUAAAGUCAACCUACAGGUGAUGAUUUGCAGCAUUUCUUCAGUGCCAUUUACACGUGAAAACACAAUCAAAGGUACCCGGGGGCCGUACCAUUAAACUGUCAUAAGUAUGAUGACCAGCUCCUAGAACAAUUCCAGAAUAUGCAUGAUGACCUGUGCACCAAGAUGAAACAGUCACCAGACCUCUAUAGACCCGCCAUAA
rnacentral:misc_RNA from 1 species